GGAAACCUGCUUGCAGGACAGCCUUCCACAUAGUCUGCUGGGUUUCAGCAUUUAUUGAUUGACUUGAGAUUUUGUUCCGCUUUUUAAUAGUAUUAGUGAACGACACUCUUUUUGUUUGACCAUGUGUGUAUCCGUUUUUCAAAGGCUCUAUUAUGCUUGCCACCUAAUCAAGCUAAAACAUUCCUGACAACAAAGUAGAACUAAAAUACUGGAACAUGCUGUCAAAACUGCAACAUCACAUCAUUAGUGCCAUUUGACACGCAGAGUCAACAAACCAACACCUACCCAACUAGAUUAAUCAAAAUGUACCUUCCAAUGUUGUUAACCCCUGCGGCACAUCUGAAAGCUGAGAGUUUGCAAAGAAUAUCACUUUAAGUCAGUGGAAGAAUAUCAUCUGAAAGAAAAAGGGGGACUUCACGCUCCGUCUUGGUGAGAUCUCAUAGCAGAGCAUCGCCAUGGAAACUGAACUUAAUGAUUGCCAGAGAAAAGCACUUAGACAAAGCUGGGGGUUCUAACUAUAGGAUUAUUUAGUCACGUCCAACCUGGCAUGAUUGCACCCCGCACCAACACCAUUACACCUCUGUAAUCAUGUUGCUAUGGAAACAAUGGCUUUCAGUUUGAAGUGAGAAGGAAAUAAUCAGUGGGUGAGGGCGGCCGGAUACAUGCAGCAUUCCAUUCCUGUACUCCCAGUUUGUAGUGCCGUCGAGCCUGAUCCUCUCGCUAUGGCAGCCUGUCGACCUUCCAUGUUGCAAAGUAAACAUUGCACCAAGCAUAGCCUCUGCCACGUUUGAGGUUGGUGUUUGUCUUAAUUAGUGGGUUGACCUGAGCCUUGAGAAGUGUGGCCACAAGGUUUACAAACUCUGGAGACAACCACCAAAUGCAAUCACCGUCGCGAUUUGACGAGGCCGAGUUUGUAUCUUGUUUUGGACUUCAUGUUGUUUGCUGAUUGGAUUCUGCUCAAUUUAGCCCAGUGCCGGCCCUCCUUACAUGACAAAAGCCAUCUCAUCCAUCUCAAGACAGACAGCAGACAGCAGACCACAGAUGCAUUUAAAGUGUUGUUUAUUUGUUUGUCAGUGAGCAAAAUUUGUGAAAACUGUCUGACCAAUCACCACAAGGAUAAGUGCCAGAAAAUACAUUUUAAAAUUCCUUCCUAUAGCUGCGAAUGCAUGCCUAUGCAGAAGGUGUGUAUGUAUUAGGCUGUACUGUUUCCAAUCCACAUUCAUAUUAUUAGCCUUGGCAGCGGCCUGUGCUUGACCGAGUGCCAUCCUGGUGUCUUCUAUUGCUUUUAGAGCAUGACACACUUUCUAUACUUUAGGGGAUUUUUUUAUCAUCAGGAGGGGGUAGAACAGUGAAAUAUCACAUUUAUGUCACUUUGACGAGCAACAUGGCGCUUGCCUGCCUGCCUGCCAGUCGUCCUGGCCAUGAUGGUGCCAAAAAGUCUUUGGGGUAUUUUUAUUGCAUUACCCGCCAAGCAUCUGCUCCCAAUUACCCAGAGAGGACAUCUCUGAUGCUGGACUUUAAAGCAAGCUAACGGCCCGCUUCAGACAGUUGAGAAGUUUGUGCACUAAUUAAACUCAGCGGAAAGGAGCCAGCAUAACCAAGUUGUCAGUAAUGAGGACCCCCCGAUCAGAAAAGGGUCAGCAGACCUGGUGAAGUGAGUUAUUAUUUGGAGCACCGACUAAUUAUAUCAGCAAAUCAAAGCAGAGGUUCUGCCAGAGCAGGUGUCAUGGAUGCUGAAGUUGUCCGGUCACAAGAGGCAUUUUACAGAGGUGGGAUUUCACACCACCCAAACCUUUUUCUUAACUGUCCAGCAUAAACUGUGUCUGACCUAAAUAUAAACCGUAAUAUUCUCACUAGUGGCCACUAUUCUUAGGAGUCUCACACAGUGAAAUGAGCCGAGCCCAGAUGCUGGAUGAUAUACUGUACAGCAUUUCCAAACUCAAGCCACAGCCGCAGUCAUCACCAUGGGUGGUUGCUGGGCAGCAGCUCGCAGUGAAAUGAUACAAGAUACCCGCAGGUUACAGUGAACUCAGCAGUACGUGUUUUCUCAGACUAUAAGCUCCAAGAUGUCAGUCAAGGUCACAGAAGCAAGCAAGAUGCUCUGUUUAAUUUGUCGUUUGGACUAUUUUCAUUUGCACUGUACAUUCUUUGUUUUUGUUAUUGUAACCAAAUUCACUCCAUUUUUGCUUUAUGUGUUUUUUUUAUCACGCUCGUCCUUCAUCUGCCCCAGCGUUGACUUUUUUUUCCGUCAAUCAGCGCUCUCUUUCCAUGGGGAAAGUUCCUGGUUUGUUUUGUUUUGUCUGGUUGUUGUCAUUUGUUGCAAGUCUGCCCCGAUGCUCUUUUUGCUUCUGGUGUGUUUGGAUUUGGGGAAUUUGCAUGCUGGCUCGCCAGUGCUUCUGUAUUGUUGUAAAUAAACUCUAUUUGUGAUUUCUGCAUGGCUUAGGGCCAUCCUCUCCCAUGUGCUUAAAUCACAAAAAUGCACAGUUGUACACUUUUCUGGCUGCUCAACAUAAGUCUGUCAUUUAUGCACAUUCCUGACAGAUGCACACUUUGGGUACUUUUUCUCUUCCAUGCUCCAGAAGCUGGAGUAGGUCCACAGGCCCGAAAUGGUUAACCAUCAAAUUGCGCUUGGCAUUAUAACAUACUGUACGUCGCCACAUGUAAGCAACUUGCAGAAAGCGAUCAAAUGCAUGUGAGGAGACUGAACAAGUGAUAUUUUAUGAAGCUAGUCAAAGAGGUGCUGUGAGUCAGCUAACAAAGCAUUUUAGUCGUGAUAUUGAUUAGUGCCAGCUGGCUUUGUUUCACCUAUAACUGCGAGGACCGAUUUUUCAAACAUGGCGCUGGCGGCGAGAAUUCAAAACAAGGCUCCACAGUUUCUGAAAGCGCAGGGCUCCCACUGUGACAAGAACUAAAGUCAUCGUAAUAUUGCAAUUGCUAGUGGUGUAAGUAGGUUGGGCACUGCUGAUCUACAAACAUGCAUUCAGUUACAAGUACAGUAAUUUGAUUAGUUUUGAUUUAUUUAAGAAUUUUAAAAAAAGUAUGCAAGUCCUGACUUCUCGAUGACCCAUGCGCUAUGUAAGAUAUUUUCAUAUUUAAAGUAAGCUAUAUUUAUCUCAUGGAUUUCAAUGUCUCAGGGAAACUCUCAUGUUCCUUGAUUUACAUCCAGCUUCAGAAUUCACUGAAUUACGCCGCUCAAACUCAUUUUCAUUUUACCGCGUGCGUGCGUGCGAGUGUGUGCGUGUGUGUGCGUGUGAAGUCUGGAUGGAGGAAUAGACAAAUUACAUAGGACCAGUUGAGUAAAAAAAGAAGACAAACGGGAGAAUAUAGCUCUUACUGCACAUACGGUGCCGCAAAAAAAUAUUUCGCCCCUGCUGAAAAUAUAUAUUUUUUCAAGUUUGACCACUUUUAUGUUUAAAAUCCUCAAAUAAAUAUAACUCACUCAUUCUUGAGAGAAGGGACAAAAGAGAUAUUUUUUAAAAAACCCAUUCUUUAAAAUGCACGUUAUUACUUGAAUUUCCAUAAUUGUGUUUGUAGAAAAAAAGUCUUAGUUAUUUCAUCAUAUCAAAGAGCAGGUUUUUAAUAAUUAAAAAAAAAUCUUGAUUUUUGUCAAUUUUCUUAGACACAUUAAAAAGUGCAGUUUUAAGUCCAAGUUGUCUAAGAAGAAUCCAAAGUCAGAAAUUAAUUGGUUACACUAUGUGAUCAAAUACACUUGUUUUCAGAUUUCACACAUUUCUGAAUAACCGCAAGAUUUUCUUGAUUUCUUUUUAAUUUUAGUCUGACUCUAAAUUCUUAAAUUUCUAAUAGAGGGGUGUGGACAAACAGUCAUUUAUUGCAUAACUUAUACAAAUAAUAAACUUAAUUUUUCAAAGAACAAUCAAAAUGUGUGGUGUCAACUUGGUGUUGAUGGUGUCGACAGAAAUGCAUUAAAAAAAUAUGUCUUUGAACAAAUGUAGGACACGAUAGAGGAACUAUGAUGAAGUCUGGUAUAUUGAACAUCAAUUUUAAAAAUAAACAUACUGUGAAUGUCAUCAUUUACAACUACUGGAAUGCAAAA